UUCAGUUUAGUUUAAUAAAAAUGUUGGGGUGUGGUUCCGAAGAUAUCAAUCUGUCGUGGUAACUGAAU
rnacentral:tRNA from 1 species